AGAUUGAACGCUGGCGGCGUGCCUAACACAUGCAAGUCGAGCGGCAGCGCGGGAGCAAUCCUGGCGGCGAGCGGCGGACGGGUGAGUAACGCUUGGGAAUCUGCCUGUUAGUGGGGGACAACCCGGGGAAACUCGGGCUAAUACCGCAUACGCACCAUGGUGGAAAGCCGGGGACCGCAAGGCCUGGCGCUAACAGAUGAGCCCAAGUCGGAUUAGCUAGUUGGUGGGGUAACGGCCCACCAAGGCGACAAUCCGUAGCUGGUCUGAGAGGACGACCAGCCACACCGGAACUGAGACACGGUCCGGACUCCUACGGGAGGCAGCAGUGGGGAAUAUUGGACAAUGGGCGCAAGCCUGAUCCAGCAAUGUCGCGUGAGUGAUGAAGGCCUUAGGGUUGUAAAGCUCUUUCGCCCGCGACGAUGAUGACGGUAGCGGGAGAAGAACGCCCGGCUAACUUCGUGCCAGCAGCCGC
rnacentral:rRNA from 1 species